CAGGAGGGGACAGCAGAGCCAGGAGGGAAAGCCUGUGGCCCCUGACUCCUCUCACCCCGUACCAGGAGAAGGAGCAGGGCCGGCCACCAAUGGACACAGCCACAUCACUGCCUGCAUUCAGAUGGCUUCCUUCGAUGCCAAUCCAGGUGCCUCCGGACAGAGGCCCGCGGGAGGGGCUCACACGGUAGAAGGGCUGCACGGCACCUUGCCCACGUGCACUCCCUGCCGCACAUCCUGGAACCGCAGGCCCAGAUUCUCGCCAGUGAUGGUGAGUCUCGUCCCUCCCUGCCGAGGGCCAGUCUCCGGGGACAGCUGCAGGAAGGCAGAGGCUGGGGCGGACACGGCAAGGUCUACCGUGGCAGCAGUCCAAGGAGAGACUGCCAGGUACUUGUGGAGUGGAGCCAGGGUCCCUGCCUAAGGCUCCCCAUUCCACCUUCACCCCAGGAUCAACCCGAAGGAGCCAAGAGAAGGGAUGUUCUAGGACUCAGGGCACUGCAUAGGCCUCUGGACGUGGCCUUAGGCCAACCCUGGCCAGGUCCCAAGGCCCCUGGUUUGGCCCACCCGGCUUCUACCCAUCCCACUACUGUAUCCCUGGCUCUCAGCCACUGUCACAGCCCCCAUCACCAUCAGGACAGUAUUCGCAGUGAGAAGAAUGGGUCCUGCUUCAAGUCCUGUCUCCACACCAACACGGACCCUAGGAUCCUGUCCCAGGCUCCCAUCCAUGC